AUCAGUGUUCCUGGGUGACAUAUUUAGAUGGUUGCUAUGGUGAUGAUGUUGACAGCUUCAUGUGGCACAAAAGAAGGGCCCUGCUUUGCUAUAUCGAGCCUGCAGGAGACCGGUGCCUGAGCCACGUGCCCAUGUCAGCGUGGGAAGGGAAGGGGGCUCAGACAGCCCAACCCACCCACUCACUCCCUGCGGAGGAGCCGCGACCUGCUUCAGAGGGUGUGAAGCCUUCCUAUUGGAACCUCGGUGCUGGGACAGUGGGACUCAGAGCAGCUCUCUAGACGCCAGGUCCACGCUCAUGGCUGAUGAUGUCAGGUACUAACAACGUCGCCCAGGCCCGGAAGCUGGUGGAGCAGUUGCGCAUCGAAGCUGGGAUCGAACGCAUCAAGGUCUCCAAGGCCUCGUCAGAACUGAUGAGCUACUGUGAGCAACAUGCCCGGAAUGACCCCUUGCUGGUUGGUGUACCAGCCUCUGAAAAUCCAUUCAAAGACAAAAAGCCUUGCAUAAUUCUCUAGUUCUCUCUCUCUUCCUCCCUCCUUCCUCUCCCUCUCUUUCUCCCCACCCCAAAGGUAUUGUCCAGUUUUUCCUGUAAGAAAAAAAUAUUUGAAUCCCUUCUACUUUGAAUUUUAAAGGAACAGAAACCAUUGUGAAUGCCUGGAGCCUCCUGACCUAGCUGGAGUUCGUCCUGGCCUAACUUUAGCCUCAUCCACCCCCUCCCGUCGAGAACCACUGAUGUGACAGUUUUUAAGCUCCCCUUAGUUGGCCUGGGGAAAGGGUUCUGUUGGCCAAAGGCGAGCCUAGCAAGUUUGCGGACCAUAGCUGCAGUCCUCGGGUCCCACAUAAAACAUGCAGGUGCGGUGUCAGAAGGCUGAGAUGGAAGGAUCCCCGAGGCUUGGGGACUGCAUCCUAGCAGCCAGUAAACUCCAGACAGUGAGAAACGAUGCCUCCAAACACAAGGCAGAGGAGGAUACCCAGCCUUGACCUCUGGCUCCACACGCGGCACACACAAUGCACCCUGUACUACCCAGUGUCAUUCUCGAGUGGCCCUGUCGUGUGCACGGUGACAGUGAUGCCCUUUCUCCAGAGAGUUGGCCCAUUCUAGAAACGGGCAUUUGGGUCUCCAUACAAAGGAAGCACUUGCUGGUAUGGCCGAGUGUGUAACUUUGUCUCCGAAGCCUGAGAUCCAUGUGUUCAUUGGUGACUCCUCGUUUUUCUCCCAGUUACACAGAUGGUUGUGAGGGCAGAAGUGCAGAUUUAAUUAUCUUGAGGUGAUUGAGAAGGACCGAUGGGGUUCUCCAUCCCACAUCGUGACUGUGCCUCCAGAUCCCCCUUCCUGGGUCAAACUAUUUUUUAACUAACUAGAACCCAAGUCCCUCAAUGUGUGGACUGUGGCCAUUUUCUGCACUCCUUCAUUGGGAGAUUCAUCUCUGACCACACCCCCAACCCCUCACUGAGGGAUUCUAGACGGGGCUCCACCCCUGACCACGCCCCAGUCCCCCAUUGAGGGAUUCUAGAAGGGGUUCCACCUCUGACCAUGCCUCAGCCCCCUACUGGGGAUUCUAGAAGGGGCUCCACCCUGACCACGCCCCCAGACCCUUACUGGUAAAUUCUAGAUGGCACUCCACUUCUGAGGCGGGCCUCUUCUCUAUUGUGUGAGCAGAGCCCUAGAGUCCAGGCUGGCCUGGACUGGAACUGGAGAUCUUCCUGCCUCUGGCUCCGGAGUACCUACCUGAUAGGCCUGUGUUGCAUGCCUGGCAUCGGAUUGGACGGAAGAUGACAGACCGUCUGUCUAUGACAGUGACAGUGGCAGGUCUAGGGAGGACACAGCUUAGGUGUGCCAGUGUGGUCUGCAGCCAUACACAAAGGCAUCUCAAGCAUUUGAGACUCCAGUUACCUCUUUCUCCUGCCGGAUCAGUGUGGGAGCAGAAAUGAAGCCAGUCCAGUUACUCCCUGCAGCUCUGGUGGAAAUCUGCUUCCCAAACCCUGUGCCAGGCUCAUCCCUGGACAGUUGCUCAAACUGCCCAUGGGCAAAGUGAAUGGAGCUGGCAGAUCUGGCUCCUAGCCUAUUAGGCACAACCUACCACCUAGAUAAGGUGGCAGCCCCCCCCCCCCCCCAGUCCAUUUGAUGGAAUCAGGGAAAGAAGUUUGGGAUGUGACUAAGGGGGAGGGGCACUGCAGGUGCUAAGAGAGGACCCUGUUUCCCCCUCCAUGGGCCACAGAGAGCACAGACCAAGGGUCAGGCCCCUCCUGUGCACUGACUCCCAAUUACUGGUCAGAGAGGGCCAGGACUUUGGUGAGCCUGACUCUCAGAACCUGUGGUGGAAUCAGAAAAGCCAGUGUCCCUCCAGAACUGCAGCCACCUUUCAUUAGGCUAGGAACCAGGUCCCAGCAGGUGUGUCUCCAGCUGCACUGGCAGGGGACAGUGAGGAGAGAGGAAAGGACAUACAUUCUGGGGACCGGGACUGCAGAACACCCAGCCAGUAUGGUAGAAACCUGGGUUCCACCCCAAGCUCGCAAAAAAACAGGCAUGGGCACUGGGGAUGUAGAGGCAGGAAGAUCAGAACUUCAGGGUCUUUCUCAGCCACAGGAUGGGCUCAAGGUUAGCCUGGGCUGCAUGAGACCAUGUCUCAAAGACAGAAAUCUCAGUGUGCUCUCUCAUGUUCCUAACACGCCUGAUUGUUUCCCUCUGGAGGCUGCUGUGCCAGCCUGGCCAGCCUGCGUUUGGUCGCAGCCUUGUUUCUCAGCUCUGGGACAAAAACUCAAAUCUGCAUCUCUGCCCACACCUCCAGUUCCCCCUCCCCGGGUGACUCACAGGCCAAGGACAAAGUGGCCUCUUGCUCCCAGGGAGGGUAGGAUGUGCUGGUGUAGCCUGUGUACGUCCUAAGCACUGGAGCCCUGCCUCGGCCUAGAGACGCUUAGGGAAACCAGAACACAUCAGAGCAAUUAGGAGCCAAGAAUGGUGGCCCACGCCUUCAAUGCCAGCACUUGGGAGGCAGAGGCAGGCGGAUCUCAGUGAAUUCGAGACCAACCGGGUCUACAGAAUGAGUUCCAGGACAGCCAAGGUUAUAAAGACACUGUCUAAAAACAAAACAAAACAAAAACCCAAAUCUGUCAGACCUGCUGCAACUUGAGCCACCUAGGAGGGACUUCCAACCUAAGAAGGAUGGUGGGCAUGGGGGUGCAUCCUACACAGAAGCCAUACACACCGGCCAGAUGUCACACGUCACUUUCCAAUUCUGCCCCCACUCCAGGGCUGGCUCCUCCCCCUUCACCCUCCAGGGCUGGCUCCUCCCCCUUCACAUUCCAGGGCUGGCUCCUCCCCCUUCACACUCCAGGGCUGGCUCCUCCCCCUUCACAUUCCAGGGCUGGCUCCUCCCCCUUCACACUCCAGGGCUGGCUCUUCCCUCUUCACUGCUUUGUGACUCUGGUUUUUAUUUCUGAAUAAAAAAAAAAAAAUCCCGUGUGCCAUUCCCACUCUCCCAGUGUUGCUAUUGUGUGGAAUGAGGUCACAGGAGGACGAGUCCUCCACAAUAAAAACCUCUCUUUUCCUUUUG
ensembl:lncRNA Gng7 G protein subunit gamma 7